GGAGUUGUGGUUCCUCAAUGGAACUCACUUUGACCCAACAUCGGGUCAAACACUAAUAGGAGUGCAGAGCCUCGGAGUCCUGCAAAAAUAGGAGUCUAAGCUUCUAAGCCGAGUUUAUUAUUCUUUAUUGCCUUCCAAUUUAAUUUAUAUUUCCAUGUUGAGUUUUAUUUACUAACCCUAUGUCUAUUUACUUUGCUUGAGACAA
rnacentral:lncRNA from 1 species